rnacentral:rRNA from 1 species
CUCUCGGGUGACGAGCGGCGGACGGGUGAGUAAUGUCUGGGAAACUGCCUGAUGGAGGGGGAUAACUACUGGAAACGGUAGCUAAUACCGCAUAAUGUCGCAAGACCAAAGUGGGGGACCUUCGGGCCUCAUGCCAUCAGAUGUGCCCAGAUGGGAUUAGCUAGUAGGUGGGGUAACGGCUCACCUAGGCGACGAUCCCUAGCUGGUCUGAGAGGAUGACCAGCCACACUGGAACUGAGACACGGUCCAGACUCCUACGGGAGGCAGCAGUGGGGAAUAUUGCACAAUGGGCGCAAGCCUGAUGCAGCCAUGCCGCGUGUGUGAAGAAGGCCUUCGGGUUGUAAAGCACUUUCAGCGGGGAGGAAGGCGAUAAGGUUAAUAACCUUGUCGAUUGACGUUACCCGCAGAAGAAGCACCGGCUAACUCCGUGCCAGCAGCCGCGGUAAUACGGAGGGUGCAAGCGUUAAUCGGAAUUACUGGGCGUAAAGCGCACGCAGGCGGUCUGUCAAGUCGGAUGUGAAAUCCCCGGGCUCAACCUGGGAACUGCAUUCGAAACUGGCAGGCUAGAGUCUUGUAGAGGGGGGUAGAAUUCCAGGUGUAGCGGUGAAAUGCGUAGAGAUCUGGAGGAAUACCGGUGGCGAAGGCGGCCCC